rnacentral:rRNA from 1 species
UUUUGAUCGUCCGAGUUGUAAUCUAGAGAAGUUGUUACCUGUGCAGGACCAUGUACAAGUCUCCUGGAAUGGGGCAUCAUAGAGGGUGAGAAUCCCGUCUUUGACAUGGACUACCUUGCAUGCUGUGGUGCGCUCUCAAAGAGUCGAGUUGUUUGGGAAUGCAGCUCAAAACGGGUGGUAAAUGCCAUCUAAAGCUAAAUACUGGCGAGAGACCGAUAGCGAACAAGUACCGUGAGGGAAAGAUGAAAAGAACUUUGGAAAGAGAGUUAAACAGUACGUGAAAUUGCUGAAAGGGAAACGCUUGAAGUCAGUCACAUUGGCCAGAAAUCAGCCUUGCUUUUGUGAGGUGUACUUUCUGUUCGAUGGGUCAGCAUCAAUUUCGAUUGCUGGAUAAAGUCUUUGGGAAUGUGGCAUCUUCGGAUGUGUUAUAGCCCAAUUUCACAUGCAGUGGUUGGGAUUGAGGAACUCAGCACGCCGAAAGGCCAGGUUUUGACCAUGUUUCGUGCUUAGGAUGCUGGCAUAAUGGCUUUAAUCGACCCGUCUUGAAACACGGACCAAGGAGUCUAACAUGCCUGCGAGUGUUUGGGUGGAAAACCCAUGCGCGCAAUGAAAGUGAAAGUUGAGAUCCCCUCUUAGUAGGUGAGCAUCGACGCCCGGACCAGACCUUUUGCGACGNAUCCGCGGUAGAGCAUGCAUGUUGGGACCC